GAUGAACGCUGGCGGCGUGCCUAAUACAUGCAAGUCGAGCGAACAGACGAGGAGCUUGCUCCUCUGACGUUAGCGGCGGACGGGUGAGUAACACGUGGAUAACCUACCUAUAAGACUGGGAUAACUUCGGGAAACCGGAGCUAAUACCGGAUAAUAUAUUGAACCGCAUGGUUCAAUAGUGAAAGACGGUUUUGCUGCCACUUAUAGAUGGAUCCGCGCCGCAUUAGCUAGUUGGUAAGGUAACGGCUUACCAAGGCAACGAUGCGUAGCCGACCUGAGAGGGUGGUCCGCCACCCUGGAACAGAGACACGGUCCAGACUCCGACGGGGGGCCGCAGUAGGGAAUCUUACGCAAUGGGCGAAAGCCUGACGGAGCAACGCCGCGUGAGUGAUGAAGGUCUUCGGAUCGUAAAACUCUGUUAUUAGGGAAGAACAAAUGUGUAAGUAACUAUGCACGUCUUGACGGUACCUAAUCAGAAAGCCACGGCUAACUACGUG
rnacentral:rRNA from 1 species